CCUACGGGUGGCAGCAGUGAGGAAUAUUGGUCAAUGGCCGAGAGGCUGAACCAGCCAAGUCGCGUGAGGGAAGACGGCCCUACGGGUUGUAAACCUCUUUUGUCGGGGAGCAAAGCGAACCACGUGUGGUUCAUUGAGAGUACCCGAAGAAAAAGCAUCGGCUAACUCCGUGCCAGCAGCCGCGGUAAUACGGAGGAUGCGAGGGUUAUCCGGAUUUAUUGGGUUAAAGGGGUGAGCAGGGGGGGGUGCAAGUCAGCGGUCAAAUUGCGGGGCUCAACCCCGUACUGCCGUUGAAACUGCAUCCCUUGAGUGCGCGAGAGGUAGGCGGAAUGCGAGGGGUAGCGGGGAAAUGCAUAGAGAUCACGCAGAACUCCGAUUGCGAAGGCAGCAUACCGGCGCGCAACUGACGCUCAUGCACGAAAGCGUGGGUAUCGAACAGGAUUAGAUACCCCUGUAGUC
rnacentral:rRNA from 1 species